rnacentral:rRNA from 1 species
AGUUUGAUCCUGGCUCAGGAUGAACGCUAGCUACAGGCUUAACACAUGCAAGUCGAGGGGUAACGGUAAAGAAGCUUGCUUCUUUAGCUGACGACCGGCGAAUGGGUGAGUAACGCGUAUCCAACCUGCCCUUUAGUAGGGGAUAGCCUUUCGAAAGAAAGAAUAAUACCCUAUAUUGUUGUCCGACGACAUCAGACGACAACGAAAGGUUCACCGCUAAGGGAUGGGGAUGCGUCUGAUUAGGCAGUAGGUGAGGUAACGGCCCACCUAGCCGACGAUCAGUAGGGGUUCUGAGAGGAAGGUCCCCCACAUUGGAACUGAGACACGGUCCAAACUCCUACGGGAGGCAGCAGUGAGGAAUAUUGGUCAAUGGGCGUAAGCCUGAACCAGCCAAGUAGCGUGCAGGAUGACGGCCCUAUGGGUUGUAAACUGCUUUUAAACGGGGAUAAA